AGCUUCUCUCAAAAACAAAAAACAAGAAUCGAGGAGGCAAAGGUACUAAUUCAGUUCAUGAGAUUCUAUGUCUGUACACGAUCCCAUCUCUUAACCUCCGCUGCAAUGGUGCCAACUCAGGGACUUAGAAGCGACACAGAUAUCCACACGUUGUCUGGUCAGUUACAGAAAAAGGUGAUCAAUGAGUAAAGAAAAGGCCUGCGGAUGGAGGGGAGAUGGCUCAGUGGCUGAGAGCAUGCCUCUAGCUGAAGAAUACAGUUCAAUUCCCACAUCCACCUCCGGCAAGCACACAUCCAGCUCCCAGAGAUCUGAUGCUCUCAUCUAGUCUCUGUGGGCACGCACAUGCACACAUGUGUGCACAUCCAUGAAUAAAAUAAAAAUGUGGCACACCAACUGGAGUUGGAGAGACCAGCAAGGUUCCCCCAAUGCUGACUCUGGUUACCCACAGAGGGAUACGACUUCAGAGGGAUUUCGAAGUAAAUAUUCUACAUCUUA